rnacentral:rRNA from 1 species
CGAUGAGAGUGGCGCACGGGUGCGUAACGCGUGAGCAACCUGCCCACGUCAGGGGGAUAGCCCCUCGAAAGAGGGAUUAAGCCCGCAUGCGACGGAUGGCCCGCAUGGGCCCUCGGUCAAAUAUUCAUAGGACGUGGAUGGGCUCGCGUGGCAUUAGCUGGUUGGCGGGGUAACGGCCCACCAAGGCGACGAUGCCUAGGGGCUCUGAGAGGAGUGACCCCCACACUGGUACUGAGACACGGACCAGACUCCUACGGGAGGCAGCAGUAAGGGAUAUUGGUCAAUGGGGGGAACCCUGAACCAGCCAUGCCGCGUGCAGGAAGGAGGCCCUACGGGUCGUAAACUGCUUUUGCCGGGGAACAACCGUCGCUACGUGUAGCGGCCUGAGCGUACCCGGAGAAUAAGGAUCGGCUAACUCCGUGCCAGCAGCCGCGGUAAUACGGAGGAUCCGAGCGUUAUCCGGAAUUAUUGGGUUUAAAGGGUGCGUAGGCGGCCCCCUAAGUCGGUGGUGAAAGACGGUGGCUCAACCAUCGCAGUGCCGUUGAUACUGGGGGGCUUGAAUUCGGACGAGGUAGGCGGAAUGAGGCAAGUAGCGGUGAAAUGCAUAGAUAUGCCUCAGAACACCGAUUGCGGAGGCAGCUUACCAGGGCGAGAUUGACGCUGAUGCACGAAAGCGUGGGGAUCGAACAGGAUUAGAUACCCUGGUAGUCCACGCCCUAAACGAUGAUGACUCGAUGUCGGCGACAGACUGUCGGCGUCCAAGCGAAAGCGUUAAGUCAUCCACCUGGGGAGUACGCCCGCAAGGGUGAAACUCAAAGGAAUUGACGGGGGCCCGCACAAGCGGAGGAGCAUGUGGUUUAAUUCGAUGAUACGCGAGGAACCUUACCCGGGCUUGAAAGUUACUGAAGAUGCCGGAGACGGCAUCGUCCUUUGGGACAGGAAACUAGGUGCUGCAUGGCUGUCGUCAGCUCGUGCCGUGAGGUGUUGGGUUAAGUCCCGCAACGAGCGCAACCCCUGCUGCCAGUUACCAGCACGUUACGGUGGGGACUCUGGCAGGACUGCCCGCGCAAGCGGCGAGGAAGGCGGGGACGACGUCAAGUCAUCAUGGCCCUUACGUCCGGGGCUACACACGUGCUACAAUGGGCGGUACAGAGGGCAGCCACUUAGCGAUAAGGCGCGAAUCCCUCAAAGCCGUCCACAGUUCGGAUCGGGGCCUGCAACUCGGCCCCGUGAAGCUGGAUUCGCUAGUAAUCGCGUAUCAGCAAUGACGCGGUGAAUACGUUCCCGGGCCUUGUACACACCGCCCGUCAAGCCAUGAAAGCCGGGGGUACCUGAAGUGCGUGGCCGCAAGGAGCGCCCUAGGGUAAUCCGAAUG